rnacentral:rRNA from 1 species
CGCGUAGGCGGCCAUGUAAGUCAGAUGUGAAAGCCCGGGGCUCAACCCCGGAAGUGCAUUUGAUACUGCAUGGCUUGAGUAUGGGGGAGGGAAGUGGAAUUCCUGGUGUAGAGGUGAAAUUCGUAGAUAUCAGGAGGAACACCGGUGGCGAAGGCGACUUCCUGGACCAAUACUGACGCUGAGGCGCGAAGGCGUGGGUAGCAAACA